rnacentral:rRNA from 1 species
GGAAGGGCGGAGGCACGGAGGGCGAUUCCCCGUACGUGCUCGGUCCCGGUCCCCCGAACGAGCGAAACGCAUCGGAGAGUCGGGCCGCUUGAGAGUGCAAGCCCGAAUGGGGUGAUAGGUCUCAUCCAAGGCUAAGUACGUGGGAGACGCCGAUAGCGAACAAGUACGGCGACGGAAAGGUGAAAAGAACCUCGAAAAGGGGGGUCAAAAGCGCUCGAAAAUCGUAGAGGGGGAAGCGGACCUGACCGACGAGACCUCGUCGUCGCUCGCGCUCGACCCACGCUUCGUCGCGGAGUUCCGGAGGGGCUCGCCCCCCGGAGCCGCGGCGCGGCGGGGGUCGGGAGGCGCUCGGCGGCGGGGCCGCUUGCGCGGGACCGGCGUCGCGCCGAACGAGAGGUCGCCUCGGCUCGCCCGAAAGGACGCGCCGGGG